AAGGCAGCGGCAUAACCCACUGAGCCACCCAGGCGGUUUUUGAACAUCACUUUCAAGGACUCCGUGGGAUCUUCCAACUUUUUGAAGAUUUGCAUUUUCACCCUGCUGUCAGUUCGGUUUGCGAUGUCUCCUGUUCACCACACUGGAGAGACUGGCCAAUGGCUGGCAUAGGUUACGUGACGGAAGGUGAAUGAGCCCUGAUUUCCCAAGUCUGUGUCGUGUUAUUCUGAUUUUCUGUGGGGCCCCUGAUCAUGACAGCUUGGAUGAAAAGGCUCCUUUCCAGAGCUUCCCCCCCAUCAGGGCUUUCUCUGUCUGCCCCCUCACAAAGUGAUCACAAACCCCAAACCCUGUGUUGACAAGCCUCCAACACAAACGGAGGGAGUUCAUCAGAAGCUCUGUUUCGUCAGCCCUCAGAGAAGAUAAGGGGGAACUUCCAUACUUGCUCAGUUCAUUCUGAAGUUUCAUAAUUGUCACGAUUGGGAAAAAAUAAAUUGCUUCUCAUGAAAA